UGAGCAGUAAUAGUACACCCAGGUAUAAAUGUUUUUAAAUUUCUCAAAUUAUUGGCUAUUUGGUAAAAUGCUGUGGCAGGUACUAAAAUUGUGCAGUUUGUGAUACUUGUAGUGACAUUUUAAUAUAUUUUUGAUUCACUCAUUAAGUGAUUUAUUUUUUAUGAAGUGACUGGUCUUGCUGUCAUGUCUGAGCCACUUUGGGGUAAAGCAGUAGUUUAAAAAUGACCUGAAACCCAUGUUUGUGCAGGUUGUGUGUGCCGCAUGCAGGUUGUGUGUGCCGCAUGCAGGUUGUGUGUGCCGCAUGCACCCAAAAGCAUUGCAAAAACCCUUUAAUAUUGUCAAUAGUAAUCAUCUGGAACAACUUACCCGAGCUCAAUAAAGAUAUAGUAGGAA